UUAAGACGGACUGCUUAACCCGC
rnacentral:siRNA from 1 species